rnacentral:rRNA from 1 species
AUUGAACGCUGGCGGCAUGCUUUACACAUGCGAGUCGAACGGUAACAGGUUAAGCUGACGAGUGGCGAACGGGUGAGUAAUGCCUCGGAACGUGCUCGAGCGUGGGGGAUAACGCAGCGAAAGCUGCGCGAAUACCGCAUACGAUCUGAGGAUGAAAGCGGGGGACCGUAAGGCCUCGGGCGAUCGGCGCGGCCGAUGUCAGAUUAGGUAGUUGGUGGGGUAACGGCUCACCAAGCCGACGAUCUGUAGCCGGUCUGAGAGGGCGACCAGCCACACUGGGACUGAGACACGGCCCAGACUCCUACGGGAGGCAGCAGUGGGGAAUUUUGGACAAUGGGCGCAAGCCUGAUCCAGCAAUGCCGCGUGCAGGAAGAAGGCCUUCGGGUUGUAAACUGCUUUUGUACGGAGCGAAAAGGCUCUCUCUAAUACAGGGGGCUCAUGACGGUACCGUAAGAAUAAGCACCGGCUAACUACGUGCCAGCCGCCGCAGUAA